rnacentral:rRNA from 1 species
GAAUCAGGUAGGAAUACCCGCUGAACUUAAGCAUAUCAAUAGCCGGGAGGAAACAAUUCCGAGUUAU